rnacentral:rRNA from 1 species
AGCGAACGCUGGCGGCAGGCCUAACACAUGCAAGUCGAACGAACUCUUCGGAGUUAGUGGCGGACGGGCGAGUAACACGUGGGAACGUGCCUUUUGGUUCGGAAUAACUCAGGGAAACUUGUGCUAAUACCGAAUGUGCCCUUCGGGGGAAAGAUUUAUCGCCAUUAGAGCGGCCCGCGUCUGAUUAGCCAGUUGGUGAGGUAACGGCUCACCAAGGCGACGAUCAGUAGCUGGUCUGAGAGGAUGACCAGCCACACUGGGACUGAGACACGGCCCAGACUCCUACGGGAGGCAGCAGUGGGGAAUCUUGCGCAAUGGGCGAAAGCCUGACGCAGCCAUGCCGCGUGAAUGAUGAAGGUCUUAGGAUUGUAAAAUUCUUUCACCGGGGACGAUAAUGACGGUACCCGGAGAAGAAGCCCCGGCUAACUUCGUG